rnacentral:sRNA from 1 species
CUCAGGCUUAGGCUUAGGCUUAGGUUUAGGCUAGGGCUUUGGUUUAUGCUAGGG